AAGUCGUUCAACUCCCAUACAUUGGUUUAAAAUUUCAGGGUUCAUGAAGUACUAGCUCAAAAAACUAUAAUACCUUCGCAUAAUGUUACCUUGCACUCUACUCUGCUCAUGUUGCUAUGAGCAACGAACUAAUGUUUAUUCAAAUAUAAACACGAAAAAAUCAAACUCUGGUAGGAAAAUGAAACUUUUGACCUUGCUGAGUGGACGAAGGAGUCUCAAAGAUGUGCAAUGACCUGACAGGAUUUCAGCGGGCGAUUCCCUACCAGGUGCGGCGUUGCUGCGGCUGAGCGCGCCUAGGGUUCACGUAACUGACCUUGAAAAAAUGCCCUCUAUGCGUGCUGUUGCAAACCUGCUUGCAAACCCUUCCGAAAGUUUCCUCAGAUUUGCACAAGGAUCUGUAUGACGCGAAAGUUCCACGGCAUACGAAAAAAUACGUGUAAAAUUGAGCGCAUGAAGCAAUCUUGUGUCAUGUACUACAAGCAAUUAAAAUCUCUCAGUAAAUAUCGAUUUUUCUUUUGAA